GAGGAGUCUGGAGGACACUGUGGAAGGUCGACCACUAGAGGGGUUCAGAGGGAAUUUGUCUGUUGGAGGGGUCUGGUUGGCACUGUUGGAGUCCGGUUGGCAUUGUUGAAGGUUGAUGGCUGGAGAGGUACGGAAGACAUCGGAGAUAGUUGGUCAUUGUAGAAAUCUGGCUGCUGGAGCCCGUCCGUUGUAGAAGUUCGUCUGGAAUCCAUUCGCUGCAGAAGUUCAGACGGAGUCCGAUUCUUGCAGAAGUCUGGAAGGAGGCUGCUUACUAUAGAAGCUCGGAUAG
rnacentral:lncRNA from 1 species